rnacentral:lncRNA from 1 species
CUCUGAAAUAUAAUCAAGAGGAAGAUGCNCUCCUCAUGAUCACCCACCUCCUCAAGACCAUCCUCCUCAUGAUCACCCACCUCCUCAAGGUCAUCCUCCUCAUGAUCACCCACCUCCUCAAGACCAUCCUCCCCCAGAUGUUCUUCCUCAUGAUCAUCUUCCUGGUUACCUGUGCAGACUCUCCUCCUUCACCUGUCCUGGCUCAGGUGGGCUCCUCACCUGUCCUGGCAGAGGUGGGCUCCUCGGUGGUCCUGCCCUGUGAGAGAGGGAGCUCUGUUGGGGACUGUAUAGAGUGGAGAACCUCCUCUCAGCUGGUGUUUGAGAGAUGUGUUGAGGAUGUUUAUCAGGGUUCAGGAUAUGAGGGUCGAGUUUCUGUUUCUGAGGAUGAUCUGCUGAGGGGAGGUUGCUCUCUGCUGAUGGAGGAUAUCAGACCUUCUGAUGAAGGAGAAUACAGAUGCUUCCUGAUACAGAACAACACUAAAAACCUCAUCCAGCAGAUUAAUCUCUCCGUUAAAGAAGCUGCUGAAAUGAUCCGUCCUUCUCCACAGAUUAUAGCAGUUUUCAUUUUUUUAUUCUUACUUUUCCAAAGACUUGUAGAGCAUUGAUGAGCCUCUCUAACUGCUGCCUGAAUCUGCUGGAUUUUUGUAUCUACUGAUUUUUGUAGUGAACAGUACAGAGAGGAAUUAGUGACAGAUUAAAAAAACCCUACCAAAAAUCUCUGUGGAAAAACGUAAAUACAAUCCACAAAAUGCAUUGCUUUUCCUCACUAACAUGCAGAACAUGUUGAAAAAUGAAAUGCUAAAUCACUAUUACAUUACAUUUCACUGCACUUUAUCUCUUUAUUAAAAAAACAAUAUAGAAG